rnacentral:lncRNA from 1 species
AUUCUGCCACUCGGGGUAUUCAGGACCAGUUAUAACCAACUUCCUCUUGUCCGCAGAAUGCAGUGAUUUUUCACCUCCGAUAACUGUAAUCCUGUUGAUCUUCCUGUGCCUUGAGGGUCUUCUGUUUUUCACUUUCACUGCAGUUAUGUUUGGCACCCAAAUCCACUCCAUAUGCAACGACGAGACGGAGAUCGAGCGAUUGAAAAGUGAGAAGCCCACAUGGGAGCGGAGGCUGCGAUGGGAAGGGAUGAAGUCCGUCUUUGGGGGGCCCCCCUCACUCCUCUGGAUGAAUCCCUUUGUGGGCUUCCGAUUUAGGCGACUGCCCACGAGACCCAGAAAAGGUGGCCCGGAGUUCUCAGUGUGAGGCGUGGCUCAUCAGACUGAAACUUGCUCACAGACUUCCAGUUAUUUAUUUGGGGUCUGAAGGAUAUCAACAGCUCAUCUGUGACCAACAGGGCAACUGGAACCUACACAAACCAAUUGCUUGCAGCAAGCAGAGUUUUAUAUAUUUAUAGUCACAGAUGGCAGAGGAAGAGGCUCUCAGUCCCCACCUGUACAACAACGGAAAGGUGUGUGGCCACACGAAGAAGCCAAACGCCGUGG